GUUACACCUCUUCCCUACGCCUGUCAGCGAACAGCUGGACUUCUCUGGUUACAUGUGUGCAACCGUUUAAAAAAAACAUCCAGGCUGGCUUACUCAGCAGAUUAUAAAGAGUGAUUUACAAAAUAGCUCACCUGCUUGGGCCACCUGUGCCUCAAGAAGAGCCAGGGACUUAAAUGACAGACUUGUUGUAAGCAUCAAAACUAAUCCACCACCCAAAAGAUCCACUUGUAAAUAACAUUAUGCUGUGGGGCUGAACGGUUUGGGGAUGGAACUGCACGUUGUAUGUUCACCUGAGUACGAGUCAGAGCGCAGAUCUCCUUUCACUUAGACGUGGGCCUUAAUCAGCCAGCUACAAUUAGAUUUACAUCAACCACUUCAACAAACAGAUCAACAGCAGAGACCUACAGCCCCGGAUUAAAGAUACCUC
rnacentral:lncRNA from 1 species